UACGUAGGGUGCGAGCGUUGUCCGGAAUUAUUGGGCGUAAAGAGCUCGUAGGCGGUUUGUCGCGUCUGCUGUGAAAUCCCGAGGCUCAACCUCGGGCUUGCAGUGGGUACGGGCAGACUAGAGUGCGGUAGGGGAGACUGGAAUUCCUGGUGUAGCGGUGGAAUGCGCAGAUAUCAGGAGGAACACCGAUGGCGAAGGCAGGUCUCUGGGUCGCAACUGACGCUGAGGAGCGAAAGCAUGGGGAGCGAACAGG
rnacentral:rRNA from 1 species